rnacentral:rRNA from 1 species
GAUGAACGCUGGCGGCGUGCCUAAUACAUGCAAGUCGAGCGAACAGAUGAGGAGCUUGCUCCUCUGACGUUAGCGGCGGACGGGUGAGUAACACGUGGAUAACCUACCUCUAAGACUGGGAUAACUUCGGGAAACCGGAGCUAAUACCGGAUAAUAUAUUGAACCGCAUGGUUCAAUAGUGAAAGACGGUUUUGCUGUCACUUAUAGAUGGAUCCGCGCCGCAUUAGCUAGUUGGUAAGGUAACGGCUUACCAAGGCAACGAUGCGUAGCCGACCUGAGAGGGUGAUCGGCCACACUGGAACUGAGACACGGUCCAGACUCCUACGGGAGGCAGCAGUAGGGAAUCUUCCGCGAUGGGCGAAAGCCUGACGGAGCAACGCCGCGUGAGUGAUGAAGGUCUUCGGAUCGUAAAACUCUGUUGUUAGGGAAGAACAAAUGUGUAAGUAACUAUGCACGUCUUGACGGUACCUAAUCAGAAAGCCACGGCUAACUACGUG